AAAAAAAAAGAAGGAAAAAAAAACCCAACCCGCAUUAAUCCCAUCAGUGGAAAUAAUCACGUUGGGCCCACGAUCUUAAUCUUUCAUGUCGUACACAUCUGGAAAAGUAAUUCGGGGAAAUAAUAUAAACCUCAGCUAAGCUGCAUAAACCCAACGAGAAAGUGAUUUCAUUGCGCUGCGGCUGGGCAGACCUUUGUCACACGCCUUCCUGUAACAAUAUUGACUUUAUAACACCUACACUUUGUUCUCUUCCUUAACAGGACAGCUGCUAAGUGCUGGUAAAACAAACAUCACAUAUUCCAUGGGGCUCCUACAAGGUUUGCAAUCAGGCGCUCUCUAAUAACUGCUUAAAUACUCUCAUCAAGCUUGUCCUUGCUGUUUGCUUUAGGACACGGUGCUUUUUUUUCCUCCCCUCCCUGUUUAUUCUGCGUGAGCGAUAGGCAGAGCUGGAGGUCACACAAAGUAAAUGCAGGUGCUGCUUCGGGUUUUUUUUUUCCUUCCCCUCUUUUUCUUUUUUUAUCCCCGUUGCUGAGUUUGCCUUUCUGAAGCAGCAGAACGGAUGUCCCCCUAAAAGCAUUGCCUUGUUCUUCCAGGCAUGGUGAUCUCCUGAACGCAGGUCCCUGUGAGCUCCUGGCACGUUUUCAAGUCCAAGCUGAGCAAAUGCAAGAUGACAAGAGGAAUAAGAGCUUGCUUAGCAGGAAGAGGAGCACUGAGCCUGAUCUGGGGGUGGCUGCCCCUGCAGCGCAGUGAUGUAUCACACAAUUAGGUUCUCCUUUUGGAUGGCCUUCAAGGUCAGCAGAAAUGGGAGAGGAUGGAGCUCAGUGCUGGGUCUGAUCUCCCCGUGCUGGUGCAGCCUUGCCCUGGGCCAGGUCUUGGACCAGCGACUUCCACACUGGGCAAUCAGAGAACCAUGGGAACGUGAAGGUUGGAAAAGAACUCUCUGCAUCCCAGCAUGUCCCAUCAUUUCCACUGCUCACAUCCCUCAGUGCCGCAUCCCCCCAGCUCUGGAACACCUGCACAGUGCAGCACUGCAGUUCCUAGUACCCAGCCUGAGACACAGGGGUUGAUACCAGCUGCUUCCAGCUUCCUGGCUUUGCUUACAGUUGUCCCAGUGCAGCUACACCUCCCCUUCAAACCCACAGUGAUGUACAGCAGACACUAUGGGUUGGACACCAAACCCCACUGAGGCCCACUGGGAGCUGUGGGUGUGAGAAAAGGAGCUGCGUGGGAGCUGCUGCUUCUGGUUUGGCUCAGCUCCGUCUCAAAUGGUGCAUGGAUUUCCAAGAAGAAUACGGCCAACUGGAGAGCCUGGAGCCUGGUGGUGGUGGAACCAGCAGAUCUCAUGCGCGUGGGCUGCCGGACGGCGGGGCUCAAAGGACAGACAUGGAGAGCAGGAGAAGCCCUUGGCAAAACAGGAGCUGUUUGCAAACAAGGAAGCACAGCCAGCGUCAUUCACAAAAACUGCACAGGAAACAGUUGGGGAUGACGGAUGGAUCCGAGGAGCGUUCUGCUGCUGGCAGCCUUUCCACGUGGGAGCAGAGCUCAAGGCUGGAUGAGGUGGAUAAGGCUGACUCCCAGUGGCUUGUGGACUUGAGAUCCUCGUUCUGCUUCCUGCACCAGAGAGGCAUUGCAGGAGCACGCUGCUCCUGGGAAGUCCGCCCAUGCACAUAAAGAGAUUUGUAUCCUUUCCUUCCAGAUGCUGCAGUUCUAAGUGCCCGGGUGCAUUUUGUUACGGUUCCCCAGAUAACAGCAUUUGGAGUAGCACUCCUUCAGAAAAUCCAUGCAAAACCAUCUGUGAUUUCCUGCUCGUGGAUGGGUAAUUGGAUUGGAGAGGAGGGUGGGCUGGGGGCCGCCUGUACUUCCCUGCUAACAAGGCUGACAGUGCUCACAGCCCAGCAAUAGGAGCCCCCAGCACUCAGCCCUGGUUGCAGGGAGCAUCUUCACCCUACAUCCCCCACUGCCUCUGCAUUAUUGAAGCAGGAACCUCAUUUUUUUUAAUUCCCUGCAUUUCUUUAUCUUUUAAAGCAGCCUUUAAAAAGCUGCAGAUUUUUCUUUGAUAUCGUUUUAAUAUCUGUGAUAAGUUCCUUCAGGGCAAAACCCAGCUUUGUUUCUACUGAUUCAUUAGGCUUUGGGUAACAGUGGCCCUUCGAACCUUCUAUAGUCAGGGUGAAAGCGCUGCCAGCACGCAGCCCUUCUCACCCUGCCUCGUCCUGAAUUUUGCAUGGAGGUGUUAUUGCCACCAAGCUCCAAGUGUCACCAAGGGCCACCAGGAUUGGGUUGCUGCUGCAUGGGCACCCACAGCAAAGGCCUACAGCAGCCAGACCCAGCUCCAUGACAGCAGCCAGGGUGGGCAGCUGCAAAUCAGCACCACCAGCUGCAAAUCCCAGCAUUGCCAGCUGCAACCCCCUGCAGUACCAGCUGCUGCACAGGGCUGCAGUGCAUUCCCAAAUGCCACAGGUGGGGAUAAGGUCAUGGCACGCUGCAAGUGAUGCAUUGCUCCAUGCCAUCACCAAUCCCGAGCAACCAGAUGGGCUGUGGCUGCAGUUGCUGAACUGGAGAGGCACAGAGCUGUGGGCAUUGGGCAUCUGCUGCUGUUGUGGUCCAAAGGACACACAGAGGGCUGAGGUGAGCACAGUUCUACACACACUCAAUGUUUCUGUAGGGUUUUUAUUUUUAAGGAAAAUCAUCCAUUUCCCAUCUGCCAACUCCACAGGCAGAGCUGUGAGCGCAGCCCCAGCUCAGAUAGAAGGCUGCAAUACAAAUCUCUUUUACCUCUCCAGUCUAAGGAGCCACCGAGAGCUUUUUGCUGUGGGAUCGCAGCAUUCCUGCCCUGCUGAUUUAUGAGCUCUGCUCAGCACAGAGCAUUACUCACAGGAAAACUGGUGGCUUGGAGCAGCACCUUUCUGCUCCCCCCUGGGCCAAAACAUGACUGCUCCUGGAGGAGAUGGUUGUGGCUCUCUGUUGAACACAGGUUUGGAUGUCUUAUGGGAUGGGGACUUGUUUUCCAGGGAUUCGGAUGUAUGAAUGACAAAAGAGGUUCUGCCAAAAGAAGCUUCACCCAGAGAUGCAAUGAGGAUCAAAGCCGUGCUGUGAAGUUGAGAAGUGUUCCCCUGCAUGUUUUCCUCUCUCCAUAAUAUAGUUCUGUAUCUCUCUGCACCAUGUGUUGCCUGGGAAGGAAGCAGAGGCACAAAAGCCCCAUUUCUCCAGGGAUUUCUCCUCUUACAGAAAUAAAGAAGUGCGGCAAUUGCUUUGGAGAAAGCUUGAUGUGAGGCAUUCCACAUCCCAUGGAUGCUCCAUUGCAUUUGUGGGGAGAAACAGAGAGCCAGCUCCUGCAGCUGACCAACACACACAGCCCAGCAUCCUGUGGGCUCAACGCAUGGAGCCUUCCAUCCUCGAGCUCCCCGGCUGUGCCCUCUGUGGGAAAUGGUUUUCCAUGUCCCUGCCGCUCCGCCUGGCUGAGCCCGAGCCGGGAGGAUCCGUAGCAUCCAACGUUGUUGCCCCAAAACGCGACGUGUCCAAUUAUUCGCCUGGAUGACAGGGAGCUCCCGGGAGAAGCCCAAUGACAACAGCCGAGGAACACCUCCAAGAAGCCUUUGGGUGCUGCAGUGCCGAGGGUCUCACCACACCUCAGAGCUUCUCAUCCCUCCUCCUGCUCUGCCCAAGGGCACAGGGUGGGUGUCGGGUGGUACCGAAAACCUCCAUGUCCUGCUUUGGGAAGCUUGUAUCCACAGCCUUCAAGGUAAGGACAAGAGGAUCGGAAAAGCAAUGGACAGCUGGUGACACCAUGGCACUCAGGGAGGGCUGCUGCACACAAUUGCUGGCAAUAAGCUCAGGCUGAGCUCUCCAUUGGGCUGACCUUCCCCACAAAGCAUCCUUGCCCCUGCUGGCCCAUGCUGCUAGGGCUGGAUGCAGGUCUCCACGCAGUGCUCUGCAUCAAAGUGCACACACCAGGCUUGGGUUGCUUUACAGAUCUCUCUGCCCUCCUUCUUGCAGAGGGCUGGGUGGGUUUUUAAUGAGCUUUUUGAAAUGCAAUUUUAAACUUUUUCUUUUUUUUUUUCCUCUCUCUUACGGAAUCUGCUUGUAUUUUUAUCUCAGUUUAGAAUGCACAAAGCUUGACAAUUUUGUUCUCGGAGUCAGUGGGAUGAUCAAGGUUUUUACAGUCUACUAAAUUAUUAAAGGAAACUCAGUUACUCGCUAAAUAUUAUUGCUUCCAUACUGUCAGGGAGAAGAUCACAGUAAUAUUUUGUUAAUUCAAACAUCUUUCUCUUUCUCUGAGGCCAUUGAUGACAGGCAAAGAGCUUGCAUAAUGUACAAAGGUGCUUGUUACAGCAAGAGGACGUAAUUAAUGUCAGCAGGAGCAAUAAGUCUUUGCACCAGGGCUGUGCAGCUGGCUGGAGCGUGUCCACAGCUUGGCUGGCAUUUCAGAUGGCCACCCGGCUGUAGGGUGCCCGUAGGCACUGGGAGUGGUUUGGUACAAAAAGAAAGGAUUUAGGUCAGAGUUUAGCGGAAAUUCUUCACUAAGAGGGCACUGAGGCACUGGAACAGAGAAAUGGGUGCUCCAUCCCCAAAGAUGCCCAAGGCCAGGCUGGAUGGGGCUCUGGGCAGCACAAUCAACUCCUCCAUGGCAGCAGGUUGGAACUGGAUGAGCAAUGAGGUCCCUUCCAAUCCAACCAUUCUGUGGCUCUAGGACUGUAGGAUUCUGUAAUUCUACAGUAUCCUCCACAAGCAGUUGCCCCGAUGGGGCAUUGGAUGGCCAGCAAUGAGCUGGAACACCCCAUGGUGAGGUGGCCACAUGGGACCACAACAUCUGUAUCAGCACCAGCUCUGUUCCCUGUCUGCCUGCAAAUGCCCCCAGCCCUGCAGGGGAGAACAGGCCACCCCAGGGGAUGUGCAGGGAGUCCCCUGUUGGCUCAUGGCAGCAGAGACCUGCAGGCAGGUUUGCCUUUGGGGCCACUUGGCAGAGGACGCCCACAGCGAGACGCUGCCACGCACAGCCUGGGGCUUGUGUGGUUGUGUGGCAAGUUGUAUUUUCACACCAAUGUUUUUGGGUUUUGUUUUUUUUUUUCUUUUUUUUUUUUUUUCCCAAGUCAUUACAAGCUAAACAGCUCAAAUAGUCUUCAAGGUGAAAUCUGCUUUUCAUUACUCUGUAAGGGCACUGCGGCUUCAUUUUCAUAAGUUACAUUACCAUAUGCAGCAUUAUAGUGCUUUGCUCUGCUACAUAUUGUCAACAUUAAAUAACCUCUUUUUGUGGUUACAUCAUAAAAAUUCUUUAGAUCUUGGAAGCAGACCGCGAAUAUUUGCAUAUGUAUAUCUUUAAUUUUCGCAGAACAGGCUGGCUACCAGAUGGGUGAACCAAAUAAGCCUCCAACAUUUAUCUGAGAGUUCGACGUUUUCCUGUGUUGUUAACCGCAGAGGAAACUAGGUGGUUUGCAGCCACGCUGAGCCGCUGCCAGCCCCCAGCCUUCGAAUAUUUUCACAGGGAGGGGGGAGAAAGGGAGGGGGCUUUUUCCUCCGAGCCAGAUGGCCGUAUGGAAUCAAUAAAAGUCCAUUUCAAAA